GAUGAACGCUGGCGGCGUGCCUAAUACAUGCAAGUCGAGCGAACAGACGAGGAGCUUGCUCCUCUGACGUUAGCGGCGGACGUGUGAGUAACACGUGUAUAACCUACUUAUAAGACUGGGAUAACUUCGGGAAACCGGAGCUAAUACCGGAUAAUCUAUUGCACCGCAUGGUUCAAUAGUGAAAGUCGGUUUUUCUGUCACUUAUAGAUGGUUCCGCGCGGCAUUGGCUAGUUGGUAAGGUCACGGGUUACCACGGCAACGCUGCCUGACCGACCUGAGAGAGGGAUCGGCCACACUGGAACUGAGACACGGUCCAGACUCCUACGGGAGGGAGCAGAAGGGAAUGGUACGCAAUGGGCGGAAGCCUGACGGAGCAAGGCGGCGUGAGUGAUAAAGGCGUCCGGAUCGUAAAACUCUGUUAUGAGGGAAGAACAAAUGUGUAAGUAACUAUGCACGUAUUGACGGUACCUAAUAAAAAAGCCACGGCUAACUACGUG
rnacentral:rRNA from 1 species